rnacentral:rRNA from 1 species
ACUGAACGCUGGCGGCAGGCCUAACACAUGCAAGUCGAGCGGGGUUUUCGGACCUAGCGGCGGACGGGUGAGUAAUGCGUAGGAAGCUACCCGAUAGAGGGGGAUACCAGUUGGAAACGACUGUUAAUACCGCAUAAUGUCUACGGACCAAAGUGUGGGACCUUCGGGCCACAUGCUAUCGGAUGCGCCUACGUGGGAUUAGCUAGUUGGUGAGGUAAUGGCUCACCAAGGCGACGAUCCCUAGCUGGUUUGAGAGGAUGAUCAGCCACACUGGAACUGAGACACGGUCCAGACUCCUACGGGAGGCAGCAGUGGGGAAUAUUGGACAAUGGGCGCAAGCCUGAUCCAGCCAUGCCGCGUGUGUGAAGAAGGCCUUCGGGUUGUAAAGCACUUUCAGUAGGGAGGAAGCGUUGUGUGUUAAUAGUACACAGCGUUGACGUUACCUACAGAAGAAGCACCGGCUAACUCUGUGCCAGCCGCCGCGGAACAC